CCUAUCUAUUUCAUACCUCGACAAACGCAAUCCCUAGUGUGGAGCACCCUAGCAUUAGCGCUAAUGCGCCCCAGGGUCCAGUGGCCAUAAGCGUUAACUGUAAGCUGAAUGACCACAUGUAUACCUUAGGGUAAACCUGCGAUACCAUCACGAUCUCAGUUGGUUCCCCGCAUCAUACCUCACCCCAGCCAUACCUGCUAAUCGUUAAACUGACUGCAGAAUUGAAG